ensembl:lncRNA
CGCACGUCCGCGCGCAGCGUGGCACGCGCCCCCUCGCUGUCUCUUGUACCUUCGUCGUGACGUCAUUAUCAUAACGGCACCUGAGUAUUUCUCGACCGAGUCCAACGGCUUGGCGGAGACUGGUAAAUACGACGAAUUUCACAUCAAAAUCACCGUAUUACUUUUGCAACUUUGACAAAAGGAAUUGAAAGGGAACUACAUCUUCUACAUCUUCAGCAUCUGUGAGGAACAUCGUGGUGCCAGACUUUCGUCCUCUGGAUCUGAGCAUCAGUUUCUGUAGCAGCCACGCUGGAGGGAAUUACUCAGAAACCCAGCUGGAAAUAAGAGGUUGAGUGGCUCCGCCGCGGCCCAGGGUCACUUACGUCACCUGAUUACAGGGAGGCCAAGGCCAACUGCACCACUGAGCAGCCACGCCGGCUCCAUGGAGCAUCGUCUCAGGCCAGAGUCCCUCAGGCCGUCCGCCGCACCUACCGCCUGCACCAGUGGCCCCUUAACCCAUUUACCUGCUGGGAAAAGAAAGGCCUUGAAGCCAUGGAACGGCUCGCCCAUAAAACCACCGAAUGACUUUGAAACAAACCGCCACACAUUCCAGUCCACAGUUUUAAUUGGAUUUUUUUCCCCUCAGAAACAAGGAGGUAAUUUAUGACUCCUCGGGAAAAAGAAUCGUACAUUUCUGUAUUCUAACGGGAAUGCUAUGAUAAUGUUCCCAUCGAAAUCACCCUGGUAAUUAAACUGCCUGGAAUUCUUCGUUUCAUUUAGUAGAUGAAGCGAAAGAAAUGCAGCCUCUCAUGGCUUCACAUGAAAUUGUCGUUUUUUAAUUCCACAAGAGUGGUUUCAGUGGUGUUUUGCAAUUACAUCG